UACUAUAUGGCACUGCGCAUUUUCUCCUUUUGUAGGAGAUGGAGGGAGAUGAUGUUGAUCCAGAUGAUCAAUUAUUCUACGAGGAAUUAUCUGAAGCAGAAAUCAGAAAAUAGUUGCAUUCAUUUUCAUUUCAAUCUAAUAAUUCCAAGACCCUUAUUGAUCGAUGUGUGGUGUGUCAAAUGGAAUAUGAAGAAGGAGAGAAGUUAGUCGCACUUCCAUGUGACAUUCCUUCCAUUCAGAUUGUAUAAAUAAAUGGCUUCAGAUAAAGAAGAUUUGCCCCAUAUGUUGUGAUGAGGUCUCAUCCACCAAAUUCCUCAGGAAUGAUUAGCUCUAAACUUGUAUCAAACCAAAUUCUUGUACACCAAUCAAGAUUUAUUGAAUAUAUUCCAAGGGAAAUAAGGAACUUUAUAUAUCCA